UACGAAGGUGGCAAGCGUUACUCGGAUUUACUAGGCGUAAAGGGCAGGCAGGUGGUCUGAUAAGUCUGUUGUGAAAGCUCCUGGCUUAACUGGGAGAGGUCAACAGAAACUAUCGGGCUUGAGUAUGGGAGAGGAUACUGGAAUUCCCGGUGUAGCGGUGAAAUGCGCAGAGAUCGGGAGGAACACCUAUGGCGAAAGCAGGUAUCUGGACCAUUACUGACACUCAGCUGCGAAAGCUAGGGGAGCAAACAGG
rnacentral:rRNA from 1 species